rnacentral:rRNA from 1 species
AAAGGGUGCGUAGGCGGCCUUUUAAGUCUGGGGUGAAAGCCCGUUGCUUAACAACGGAACUGCCCUGGAUACUGGAAGGCUUGAGUACAGACGAGGUUGGCGGAAUGGACGGAGUAGCGGUGAAAUGCAUAGAUACCGUCCAGAACCCCGAUUGCGAAGGCAGCUGACUAGGCUGUUACUGACGCUGAGGCACGACAGCGUGGGGAGCGAACAGGAUUAGAUACCCUUGU